AAUAAGUGACUUAUAGAGUUUUGUUUUUGUUCGUCGAGAGAGGACUUUACUUCUCAAUUGCCUACUUAGUCCGAAGUAGCACCUGUUGGCAAGAGAUAUCCUGCGUUGGAUUUCAAGGCUGACGUUGUUGCUGGUGUUGAUGCUGGUUCCUAAAUAGACGACAUUAUCUACAACUUCGAAGUUAUGACUGUCAACAGUCACGUGGGUGCAUAGUCACGACUGUUUGUUUGAUGACAGGAGAUAUUUCAUCUUGCCCUCGUUCACCACCAGACCCAUUUGCUUCGCUGCCGUAUACAUUCUGCAGAAAGCAGAACUAACGACGCUGUUGUCAAGGCCAAUGAUGUCAAUAUCAUCAGCAUACGCCAGCAGCUGUACAUUGUUAUAAAAAAUUGUACCUUCUCGGUUUAGUUCUGCAGCUCAAAUUAUUUUCUCCAGAAGGUUGAAGAAGUCACACGAAAGAUAGUCGCCUUGUCUGAAACCUCGUUUGGUAUCGAACGGCUCGGAGAGGUCCUUCCCGAUCCUGACGGAGCUUAUUUCUAGAACACUGGAGACGUGUCUUCCGUCUAUCACAACAUGAUCGAUCUGGUUGGUGGCUUUUCGAUCCGGAGACAACCAGGUAGCUUGAUGUAUUUUCUUGUGCCGGAAUCUAAUACUACAGAUAACCAUAUUUCAGGCCCCGGCGAAGUCGAUCAGCCUCAACCCAUUUGGGAAUGUUUCCUAGUGGAGGCUGAAUUUACCAACUGUUGCGUCAAAGAUACCAUUUUGCCCACCCUGGCGUUAAAGUCGCCAAGCACGAUUUUGACAUCGUGGCGGGGGUAGCCCUUAAGCAAUUAUAAUUGAUUUUAAUGUAAUGAAAGACCAUGCCCUCUAGAGAAUUUAUGAGUGGACUACUUUAUUAUACUUAUCAACGCAUUCGAUAUUUUCUCUCAACGGCUUAUAAAAACUCGAACAAAAUGUUGAUGCCACCAGAAUGCCACUUGUAAGGUGAACUCCGUCAUAUCAAAACUUUGGGAUCUGCACUUUUGUCAAGGAGUAUAUAUA